UACGGGGGGAGCAAGCGUUGUUCGGAUUUACUGGGCGUAAAGGGCGCGUAGGCGGCCAGCACAAGUCAGUUGUGAAAUCUCCGGGCUUAACUCGGAAAGGUCAACUGAUACUGUGCGGCUAGAGUGCAGAAGGGGCAACUGGAAUUCUCGGUGUAGCGGUGAAAUGCGUAGAUAUCGAGAGGAACGCCUGCGGCGAAGGCGGGUUGCUGGGCUGACACUGACGCUGAGGCGCGAAAGCUAGGGGAGCAAACAGG
rnacentral:rRNA from 1 species